UACAGAGGCCUCGAGCGUUAGGCGGAAUCACUGGGCUUAAAGCGUGUGUAGGCGGAUUGGUAAGUACCUUGUGAAAUCCCACAGCUUAACUGUGGAACUGCUUGGUAUACUGGCGGUCUUGAGCCAGCUAGGGGCUACCGGAACAAAUGGUGGAGCGGUGAAAUGCGUAGAUAUCAUUUGGAACGCCAAUGGUGAAAACAGGUAGCUGGGGCUGUGCUGACACUGAGACACGAAAGCCAGGGGAGCAAACGGG
rnacentral:rRNA from 1 species